rnacentral:rRNA from 1 species
AACGCGAAGAACCUUACCUGGGCUUGAACCGCACAGGACCAGCUUGAGAAAUCAGGCCUUCCCGCAAGGGGCGCAGAGACAGGUGCUGCAUGGCUGUCGUCAGCUCGUGUCGUGAGAUGUUGGGUUAAGUCCCGCAACGAGCGCAACCCUCGCCUUUAGUUGCCAUCAUUCAGUUGGGCACUCUAGAGGGACCGCCGGCGGCAAGCCGGAGGAAGGUGGGGAUGAAGUCAAGUCAUCAUGGCCCUUACACCCUGGGCUACACACGUGCUACAAUGGCGGUGACAAUGGGCAGCGAGCUCGCGAGAGUCAGCUAAUCCCAAAAAACCGUCCCAGUUCAGAUUGCACUCUGCAACUCGGGUGCAUGAAGGUGGAAUCGCUAGUAAUCGCAGAACAGCAGGCUGCGGUGAAUACGUUCCCGGGCCUUGUACACACCGGAGUGC